GACGAACGCUGGCGGCGUGCCUAAUACAUGCAAGUAGAACGCUGAAGGAGGAGCUUGCUUCUCCGGAUGAGUUGCGAACGGGUGAGUAACGCGUAGGUAACCUGCCUGGUAGCGGGGGAUAACUAUUGGAAACGAUAGCUAAUACCGCAUAACAGUAGAUAUUGCAUGAUAUCUGCUUGAAAGGUGCAAUUGCAUCACUACCAGAUGGACCUGCGUUGUAUUAGCUAGUUGGUGAGGUAACGGCUCACCAAGGCGACGAUACAUAGCCGACCUGAGAGGGUGAUCGGCCACACUGGGACUGAGACACGGCCCAGACCCCUACGGGAGGCAGCAGUAGGGAAUCUUCGGCAAUGGACGGAAGUCUGACCGAGCAACGCCGCGUGAGUGAAGAAGGUUUUCGGAUCGUAAAGCUCUGUUGUAAGAGAAGAACGAGUGUGAGAGUGGAAAGUUCACACUGUGACGGUAUCUUACCAGAAAGGGACGGCUAACUACGUG
rnacentral:rRNA from 1 species